CCAAAAGGCAAGCGCACCCAACUCUGACUAUUUUCCACUCCUAAGCCUUUUCACUCUCUGCCCCUUCACCCUGAGUUCCCUUUGAAUCUACACUUUGGGAGAACACGGAAGCUGGCUCCUCUCGGGUUACAGGUCAUUCUUAGAGACACUGCAUUCCCUGCCUAAGCAAGAAAAUUCAAAGGAUUUUAGCCCCAGUCCCUCCAUCUUCCGGACCCAAAUCCUCUUGGAGCACAGGUUGCCCCCAAGAGAGUGUAAUGAGCUCUGUCGGCCUCUUCAGUUUCACAAACAGCUGAAAUGAGAAGCAGCUACUUGUGUUGGGAUGACAGAGAACCAUCACCCCACAUGUCCGCGGGGAGAGCCUGGGCCUAAAUUCCCAGUUGAGGGCCUCAGGAAAAAUACAGAACUGAUAGGAAAGUUUUAUUUUAUUUCUUAGAAACCAAAAAACCUGAAACACCAUUUAUUACAUUCAAGUGCAAUUCACAAAUUAGGCACUCAAAAGCACAUUUGUGGUUAAAUUAAGUACAAUUUGUUGCCCGUCCACCCACCUCACGGAGUCCUGUGGUCCCUAAAGAGAUACAGAGGUUCUGAGCUCCCAAAUCCUACUGUUUGCCCCAUCCCCUCCUCCACUCACAAGAAUCUCAGUACCCCUCCCCAUCACCUUCUGGUCCCCAUCCCUGACCCCAAAGUCCUGGGGGUAGGGUACAGUGAGGGUGGAUCUCCCCUCUUCAAUUCCUUCUAUUGUUCCCCAGAAGGCUUAUCUGGGCUGUACGUCCUGUCCCCCUCCCAAAAGGUCCCUCCUCCCAUUGUCAGACAGAGGGACCUCAGGCCCACAGGGAGGCUCCAGCUCCUCCUCACCCCCACCUCCACCCCAGCAGUCUAUUGUCUGCUGAGGAAGCCCAAGUACACGUGACUAAGCCCAGGGGACAAAUGGACAAAGUGGGCACACUGAGGACCAAGGACCCAGGACAGGGAAUCUGGAUAUCGGUCUCCGCACAUUUGGCUUUCUGUCCCAGGGGCUAUCCCAGAAGUCGGGAGGGGUGAAGAUCCCUUUGGACUCUACACUCUUGGGUCUAUGGCUUGAAGAGGAAUUCAUUCCUGCUCAGCAUGGAUGUGCCUCAUGACUUCCUAGGCAGCAAAAAUAAGAUCUAGAGCCAGAAGGGGCCAUAGUACUCAGCAUCCUCUCUACCGUCUCAUUCUCCCUCAGCUGAACAUGGAGGCCUCUGAAGAAAGCCUGUGCCCUGCUCCUUUCACCAGACCCCCGCUGAAACUGAUUCCAAGGGCCAGCUGCUCUCUUCCAUACCACUUCGUCCCCCUUACCCCACCACCGCUUCCCCUUCCCUGUGCCAAGACAGCAGCCUCAGUCAUAUAACAAAACCUUUAUUCUCAGAAAACAGGAAAAAAAAAAAACCAAA